UUUCCCCUCUGCUCCUAUUCCUCCCUUUUUACUUCUCUUUAUUGGCCCUUUCCUUUAUACUCUUGUCCCUCUAUUCACCCCUUUAACCCUCCCUCUCCACCACCACACAGGGAAGGGGAACACCAAAUUUCGGCUCUGUGCAGCCGGAAAACUUAAUCAAAUAGCAGUAAAGCCACGAUAGUUAAUUUCUCACGUGGCCCAACGAGGGAGGCGAGGAUCCUCAGGAUGAAAAAAGAUCCAGAUGACAAGUGGCCACUUCAGGGAGGAGGAAAACUGCAGGCAAACGGUUUUCAGGUGAAAAAAUGAAAAAAUCCCACCGGUCACCAGCAGGGGGAGCCAGCAGCAAGCGAACCAGAGGGCUGGUGAACAGCUGAGCAGAGAACUCCAAUCCGAGCACACCCACACCGCAGAGGAGAGAAGGCAGCAGAGAAGGGAGACGGACGAUCCGGACGAGAGAAGGCCCAGCAGCAGGAACACAGAAGAGGAGACCAGCGUCAGGAACCGGAGCCAGAGGCCAGAGAGGAGCAACAGGAGCCAGCAACCAGCAGCCAGAUCGUUAUAGCCGUUGGAGCCUGCGGCUGGGAGGAUUUUUUGCACCCUUAACUUUGGUCUUGUGCAGCCUCUGAAUGAAAGCUAGAAUACUGUCAUUCCCAGUGAUCAAUGAGGUGGGAGCCCUUCUUCUGCCAUCUGCUUCUCCUCCUUUUCCACAUCAUCCAAUAUUGAUGAGAAUGUCAUCAGGAACAUCCAGCUCCUCCUCUCUCUGCAUCUUUGUGACUUUUCUACGACAUGGAGACUUUAAAGAAUGAUUUGGAAGAAGAAAAGCCAGCAAAAGAUGAGGAUGGUCAUCAUUAGGACCUGGCCCAUCUAAGGGGUGUAGACUGGAGGGUAUUGGUUGGCACAAUGGCACCAGAAUAAUAAAGGCUUCCAUCUUAUUUGUAUUGAAUUACAUUUACAGCUGAUGUAGGAAAAGUAAAUGUAGGA